rnacentral:rRNA from 1 species
AUUGAACGCUGGCGGCAGGCCUAACACAUGCAAGUCGAGCGAGCGGCGGACGGGUGAGUAAUGUCUGGGAAACUGCCUGAUGGAGGGGGAUAACUACUGGAAACGGUAGCUAAUACCGCAUACCAUCAGAUGUGCCCAGGUGGGAUUAGCUAGUAGGUGGGGUAACGGCUCACCUGGGCGACGCUCCCUAGCUGGUAUGAGAGGAUGACCAGCCCAAUUGGAACUGAGACACGGUCCAGACUCCUACGGUGGGCAGCAGUGGGGAAUAUUGCCAAAUGGGCGCAAGCCUGAUGCAGCCAUGCCGCGUGUGUGAGGAAGGCCUUCGGGUUGUAAAGCACUUUCAGCGGGGAGGCGGUACCCGCAGAAGAAGCACCGGCUAACUCCGUGCCAGCAGCCGCGGUAAUAC